CCACCAUGGUCACUUCUAUAUCAACUACGCUAGUAGACUGUUUCGCACUCAUUGUUUCAUUCAUUGCUGCCACCGAGUUUUCGCACCGAGUUGAACUCGUAGAGUACUGUGGGAAUGUAAAGAAUUCAGAGAAAGGCAGCGAAGAGGCUUCAACACCAUCAGAUUUUUCACUUGUUUCUUUCUGGGCACCAAGUAAUUGCAAUCGCUGCUCCAGCUCCUUCACAAAAUUAAUGGCUCCUCCAAUAAUUGAUGCUUGGUCACCCCUUUGAACGUAAGACUCAGGCAUUAAAGAUCGAAGAACGGAGAGAUACUCGUUCAUUUGCUUUCUUCGAUUGCGCUCCACUGCAAUGUGAGUCAUUCUCUGCUUUGUUUUUUCUAGUCCUAGAUCGACGUCUCUUGGCACGAGCAGGGAUGGUUGAUGAGGAGUGACCCAAUAAGUGAUGAUCAGGCAAUAAGUCAGUAGCAGCUGGAGUCGAAGUAAGUCCAUUAUUAGCAAGCAUUGUUAGCAUCUGGGGAUGGGUUAAUUUGAAGCAUUUCACUAAAAUGAGGGAACAUGGGAGGUGGUGAGGAAGAGUUCCAACCCCCAUGAAGGAAAUUUUCAUUUUGGUUGUGGAGAAAAUUAUCAAAAGAGCACGCUUUGGCAUCUUCCUUUUCCAGGCUAUGGUCAUAGCUCCAAUUCCCUCCUAGCAAGUUGUAGAGUUCUUUGCUAUUGUGACCAAACAGGUCUUGUUGAUAGACCACAGCCUCUAGUGCCAUCCCUUUCUCUCUUUCUUUCUCUCUUUUUUCCCUGGUAGAAAAAAAAUAAACU
rnacentral:misc_RNA from 1 species